GAUCAUUGUGAGCUUGUUUGGAGGUUCUAGCAGGGGAGCGCAGCUAUCGUAUACCCUUGACCGAAGAACGGUACACUCCUUCUAUCUGGGAUGGUCGUCCUCUUCCACCGAGUGCGCAGCUUCGGGAGGGACGCACAUGGAGCGGUGAGGGAGGAAGGGGACACCCGCCUAGCCAGCCAGAUCAGCCGAAUCAACCCUGGCGAUCAAUGGGGUGACAGAUGUCGCAACUAGAUCGCCCUCACAUCCUGGCCCAAGAUCAUUGUGUGACCUCAAGUGGAACACAAAUGUUGCCUCCCACAAGAGCAUAAGAACAGCUGCCUAAAUCAGGACAAUGGGCCCAGCUAGUCCUAUCCAGCUAGCAGGAUCUGAACACAUGUGCACUCCCCACUUCAUGGUUUCCAGCAACUGGCAUUUGGAAGCACUGUUGCCUUCAGCUGUGGACGCAGGGCAUAGCUAAUAUUGCUAGUAGCCUUAUAGGCCAAGGACUCUUUCCUACUCUUUCAAAGCCAUCUAAGUUGGUGGCCAUCUCUGCCUCCCGUGGGACCGAAUUGCAUAGUUUAACUAUUUCCAUUUCCUGCCUUCAUCUACCCCAUUUCCCUACCUGAAGCACGUCACUUCGCUUUGAUGAAUGCCAAGACUUUCAACUCCUACAGGUUUUUUCCCCCAACAGUAAGCAUUGCCAGAUCUGAUUCACUAUGUGGCACUGUUUCAAGAUGCUGGGAGUGGGUGGGGGCCCCUUUUCAGGCCCUCGCCCCCAGCCCAUUGGUCUGCUGGGAUGGGGGCAGGGUGAAGGCCACCCUGUAGCCAAGGUGGGUGGCACCCUGGUCCUGGGAAACCCCGUGCUGGGUCGCAAACCCUGCCCACCUCUCAGAAGGGGUGAGCGGUAAUUGUUGAAAGGCCUUAUGUGGUUAAAUUGAAAAACAGCUUGCAGAGAUCUGCUAGCUAUAUUGCUGCUGCACAUGUUCAGUAUCCUUCAUUAUCACAAAAAUAGCCACUCCCUUAUUGAUAGUUUAUUAUCAUUCAUUAUAUCAGGCUGUCUUCGUUGUUUACUUUUGCAUUGUUCAUCAUGGUUUGUACUAAAUCAGUAAUGUGUGUUAUUUUAUAAAUUUUUUUAAUGCUUUAACAUUAAUAUGUUUUUAUUUUAUCCUGAUUGCUGAUUUUACUAAUUACAAAUCUCAAACAUCGAGUAGUGAUUUCUAUGUGCAUUUAUGCAAAUUCUGUUUCCUGGUUUCCCUUUUAUUAUUUUGCUUUGUGCUGUUGUGGUCUAAGGACCUGUGCAAUAAAAGUUAUUCAAUGUCCUUUACACAUUGAUUUGUAACUGUAUGGAAGAUAUAUUUUGCAGAAAUCUCUGUAGGCCAUUUUUUCAAUUUCACUUGGCCGAAACAUGUUGGGCUGUUCUGAAAAUACCCCCCCCCCCGGAUCUUGAGAAAUGUUUUCUUUGUUUUUGGAUGCUGUCAGUGUUUUCGUUUGUUUGUUUUGUGUUGGAUGUUUCAUUUUAGAUGCUGUCUGUGGUUUUUGUUUUGCAAUUCUAUGUAGCAUUGUGCAGUGCUCCCCCCCUAAAAAAAUGUUUAGGGGUACUCUCAUUUUCCUAUUCAUAUUUAAAUACUGCCCCUCAAUGAGGCCAAACUUAGAUUCACAAAAUGUUUAGGGGUAUGUGUCCCCCCAGAAAAAAAACCACUGGCAUUGUGACAUCAUUCCAUCCACCACACAAUUGCUGAUUGGCUGGGAUUAUCCCUGUAACUAAUUGUAGAGAAAGAAAAAGAAAAAUUAGUGGCCAUGGAGUGAAAAGGCAGAGAAGCAGGAACAUGCCAAACAUGACUGGAAAAAAGUGCAUAUUUAUAUAAUUUAAGUGACUGUUUGGAAAUACUUCAGCCCUGCUAAAAUGAAUGAAUUCAGAGUCAAAGCUGAAAAGAAGGAAUAUUUAAUGCCACCUUAGACAGUCUUUGCAACUGGAAGCAUCAGGUAGCCACGGCCUCUUGCAAAAGAUAAAGUUGCAAUUGUUCUGCUUUGCACUGAUCUACCUAGAAGCAUGAGUGGUGGCAGUAGGGAAAUAGUGGGAAGAACAGAUGCUUCUGCGUUGGCAUCUGAGCUACCCACCUGUCUGCAGCACAGAUGGACAGAAGGACACCAGCAGGGAAGGGAAGUUUGGUACAGCUGACCUUCUCCUGCGAUUAAAAUGCUGAAUGGCUGAAGUCAUUGGAAGCUGAGCGAGCGGAGCUGCUUUUCUGUGUGCUUCAUCCUUCCAGGAAUAAAUUGCUAUUCUGGAAACAAAUGGGCCAAUUAUGUAUAUGUGUACAUGAACAUCAGGACCAGUUUAUACACUCAAAGGGUUGAUUCCAGUAGAAAAGAUUUUCAUGGGCAUUCCAGAUUGCAGGUUACACUCUGGAAAAAAGAGGUGCUGGAACUCACCUCUGGAAAAAGAGGUGCCGGAACUCACCAUGUAUGCCCCCUUUUUUCUCUUGGAAUGGCAAUGGCACCCACCUGAGAGGUGCAAGAGCUGAGUUACGUUGAGUUCCCCCUGAAAAAAAAGCCCAGAUCCCCUCUCCCCCAGACACCUGCAUUCACACAUGCGCGCACAAGCUUUAACAGCGACAUCAGUCUGGUGAUGCUAUAGACUGGCCCUACAGGAGACAGAGAAAUAAAUUAGAUAUUGUAGUUCACUCUGCAUUCCACAUGGGUAAGCAGCAGGAGAGUUAAGAGGGGAGAGGCAAAGUUCAAGUGAGUUAAUAAGAGAUGCAUGCAGCCAGGCCCAAUCUCGUACAGCACAAGCUCCGCUCGCCCUUCGCUCCUAAUCUAUUUCCUAAAUGCGCUUCCACUUCACAUCCGCCGCGGUGACUCUUUGCCUGGGUAAAAAAGAAAGAAAGAAGGAUGUUUCAGAGGGGGCGGCUGAAGUCAGAUAGAUCCCUCAUCUUAUCAGAAUUGUGUCUGGAGCACCACUUUGUUGGGUAAGGCUCUCUAAGUUUACGCAUAAGCAGGAAAAGGAGCGUAAUGAGAAAAAAAGAGAGGUAUCUUAAAUUGCAGUGCCCUCUCUCUUGUUAUCCCAAAAGAAAAAUUCAUGGCCUCAUCAUAAAAGCUCUCAUCAUAUUUUCAGCCCCCCCCCCCAAUUCCCUGUUGGUAUUGAGAUCUACAAAGGAGGCAUUUCUGGUCCGUAGCACUUUAGAAAAUGAGCAGAGAGGCAACAGCAGCAUCCUCCAAUUUGGUACCUUCCAGAAAUUUUGGAAUACAACUUCUUGCUGCUCAAGCAGCGGUGGGGAAGAUCAGAUUGGGGGCGGGGGAGCAGCCCUCCUGGCCUCCCUAUGUGGCCCUUGGUCAUACCCCUCACAAGCCCUGCUCCAUGUCAGAAUCUGCAUUCAACCGAGCUGAUAAAGCUCAUCGUCCUCCGGAAUUGCCCUCCAAUGUGAUUGACGACCUGAGCCACUGAUAAGGCUCCAGGCACACCCCAUUCAGCAGAGAAUCAAAGCAGCACACGGAAGUGAUGAGAUUUAUGGCUACAUGGCUAUGCUUUAUCUACGCAGACAGCAAAGAAAAAUACAUCCUCUCUCUGUGAAAGCAGAGAACAACUGGAAAACAAAGGAACAGGAAACCAGUAACAUCACAUCCGUCUCCUGUCUUCCGUGAGACUUCCAACAGCCUGGAAUGUCUCUGGAAUGUAAACAGAGUCCUGUGACUCCAAAAGCACUGCACAGUGGGAAAACACAGAAACUAACAAUCCAUGCCCCACCCCCAAGUGCUUCUGACUGGCUAAACUGGCUUUUGAAGUUCUGGCAGCAGUGAUGUCAGUCUUCCAAGCAGAGGUGCCUGCUUGUGAGGGUGAUGGGUGGGGGGACGUCGUGUGCAUGAUGUCAGGACAUUGGGGGAUGGAACCAAAUGCGGUGGCUGCACAGCUUCAAUGGCCGGCAGCUCCUCGUCCACCUCCUCCUGGAGCCGCCACUGUCAGGACGCAAGAGGAUGUUUCCACCCUCCUUCACCUCUGCAGCAGCUGGAGGAGGAGAAGGAGCUGGCCACUGGAGCCAUGCUCGGCUCUGCACUUGGCUCAGUGCUCAGCCUCCUCCAGCCCCUCAACAUUGGGGGUGCCCAGCCCCCUCCCAAAAGAUACUGAGGGGGCCCAAAACAGUUUGGCUCCCAGGAGCGUGUGUGUCCCCCCUGCAAGCCCACGGUCUAAAACUGAAAUAACAUUUGGUACUAUUGCAACUUAUGUGUAAUUGACUUAUGUGCCACUUUAACGAUAUUGUUUAUUUAUUUAGAGCAUUUGUACCCCGCUGUUCAGCCAGAAAAGGCUUCCAGAGUGGCUUAUAUUAAAUCAAAACAAGACACCUGCAAGUACCUGCAGGCUUACAUUCUUAUCAACCAGUCAGUAAAAUGAACAACACACAAGGAAAAAGGGGGACAAGGAGGGAAGAGGAAAAUAAAACUAAAAACUCAGA
rnacentral:lncRNA from 1 species